rnacentral:rRNA from 1 species
GACGAACGCUGGCGGCGUGCUUAACACAUGCAAGUCGAACGGAAAGGCCCUGCUUUUGUGGGGUGCUCGAGUGGCGAACGGGUGAGUAACACGUGAGUAACCUGCCCUUGACUUUGGGAUAACUUCAGGAAACUGGGGCUCAUACCGGAUAGGAGCUCCUGCUGCAUGGUGGGGGUUGGAAAGUUUCGGCGGUUGGGGAUGGACUCGCGGCUUAUCAGCUUGUUGGUGGGGUAGUGGCUUACCAAGGGUUUGACGGGUAGCCGGCCUGAGAGGUGGAACGGCCACCAUGGGACUACGGUAGGGCCCAGAAUCCUACGGGAGGCAGCAGUGGGGAAUCUUGCAGAAUGGGCGGAAGCCUGAUGCGGAAAUGCCGCGUGCGGGAUGACGGCCUUCGGGUUGUAAACCGCUUUCGCAGGUGACGAAGCGUGAGUGACGGUAAUGGGUAAAGAAGCACCGGCUAACUACGUG